UGGGACACUAUGAUGACCAGAGACGAGCCAGGAGACAGGACACCAGAAGCAAACAGAGACACGUGGCACAUGCCAUGGCGUGAUGGUGCCCAAGCUGGCCUAAAUAGGGUCGGGUCAGGAGGCUGGGUCACAGGAAGCUCCCAGUCCCAGGCACUUGACUGACAGGUUCAAUAACCUAUAGGUCAAGUGCCCACCUGUCUCUAGGGAUUCAGGAACACCCAUCACCUGGGGAUGGGAUUUCCCUUCCUUUAGGAAUUCAGGCACACCAUCAAGACAAGAUGCUAGAUAGUGCAACUCCCAUGUGGCCAAUGAUGGCGCUGGCCAGAUCUGACCUCCACACUACACUUUCAUGGGAUUACAUUUCUAGCCAGUGAAAUGGGAGGGAGUGGUGAGGACAACUUCUUCCCCAUCCCCAUUGAGAAGCAGCGUGCCUCCGCCCUCCUGUCUCCCUUCCCAGUAGCUAGAAUGGGGAUACUGUGGGCUGUUAUCUUAGACCAUAAGAAUUGGCCAGAGAGGAGUGGGGACCCCUGCCUGCUUCUCACAGCAAUGCUGCUGCCGUGACCAACUUCAGCUUUUCAGUGAGAAAGAAAAUCAUCUUGCUCAACCCAUCAUUAAUUUGGGCUUGAAGGGCUGGGAAUAUGGCCUAGUGGUAGAGUGCUUGCCUCGUAUACAUGAAGC